rnacentral:lncRNA from 7 species
GGUCAUCAUUCUCCUGUGUGGGAAGGAUGGCAUGCCUGGUCUCCAAACCUCUAUUUUAUGUGCUAUAUCUGAAAUAUGUCCAGAUGCAAAAGUGAGGCAACAGUGAAAAGAAAACAUUAUUCUAUGAAGAUACUGAAUAAGAUUCAACUGCACCUAAAAGCUGGAAGCUCUUCAGGGCAUUUGUAAUCUGUCUUCAAGCCUUAGUGAACACAGAGGGAAUCUGUACCACUGCUGAAGUCCCUUGGUCCUACCACAAUAAAAGCAAGAGUGAUUGUGAGCCUGAUGUGUUCUCAUGAAAACGAGAAUAUUCAUUUCUCAAGUACCCUGCCUGGGACUUAAAGAAUGCUUUGAAAUCAGUGAUGUUACUUCAACAGAAGACCUUGCACAUCUGUUUCUGGGUCUCUCUUUGGAAGCACUGGAAAGGAAAAGCUUGAAAGAAAGCACUCUUUCACAGGUAUGUACCUGUUUGAAUCUCUGAGACACCUUUAAAAAUAGAGUGGGCAUGUCCUAUCGCAUACUGAGAAGUGAGAGAAAUGAGGGUGGGGUAAGUAUUGUCCUCCCUUGGAAGCUGAGAGAUUGAGGAAGCUCCUUCCUCAUGGCUGAACAUGCUGAGCAGCUGUGUAAAUGCUCUCUGCCCAUUUUGCUUAAAAAGAAACAGGUUUGCACUAACUCCCUUGGAUGGUGGGUGGUUUAAACUAACCUCCCAGCUGUGCACUGAAAUGAAUUAAAGGUAUAUGUACAAUGGACCAUGGUGUCUGGGCUGAAAGACCUUCCACCACAUCGCAGGCCCUUGUUCCAUCGUGCCGUGCUGUUUGCACACAGACUGCUGGUGGCUGCGCAACACAGGAGUGUGGGGCUGGGAAAGGAUCGGGAGUGCUGAGUGUGCAGUCUGCACCCAGCAUCACACCACAGCUUCCCCCAGACGGCACACUGCUGCGCGUGGAGCAGAAAUCUGCCUCUGUUUCCUAUUUUAUAGAAACUGAAAUGACCGCAGUGGAUCUGUCCCUAGCUGCUAUCCAGCAGGCCCUGCUUUAAUUUUAGAAUAUGUUUGGGACUUUCCCUUCUGAGGGUCUUCAGACCUGAUUUUCUGGGUGAGUAUUAGUAAUAAUGGUCCAAAAAAAGCCAAAAAGAAAUAUAUGAAACAUUCUAUUAAGUUUGAAAUGAAAUUCUGAAUAAGAUGUGUGUGUUCUUCACAGAAUAUUUACUUUGUAAUACAACCAUUG